rnacentral:rRNA from 1 species
UACGAAGGGGGCUAGCGUUGCUCGGAAUCACUGGGCGUAAAGGGUGCGUAGGCGGGUCUUUAAGUCAGGGGUGAAAUCCUGGAGCUCAACUCCAGAACUGCCUUUGAUACCGAGGAUCUUGAGUUCGGGAGAGGUGAGUGGAACUGCGAGUGUAGAGGUGAAAUUCGUAGAUAUUCGGAAGAACACCAGUGGCGAAGGCGACUCACUGGACAUGUAUUGACGCUGAGGUGCGAAAGCGUGGGGAGCAAACAGG